AUGAAGCAGAGAGUCAUUCUUAAGCUAUUUAUGGAGCGUUCUUCGGGCUUAGUGGAACAGGCCAGCCUGCAGACUGCCAGACUCCAUAGAUGCUGGAGAAUAUUCCACAGACAGCAUGACAGGUACAGUAAGACUUUCUUUUGUUCUCUCUUCAUUUUUUUCCCCCCUGCUCAGGUUGUGUCCCCCCCUGUGUAUUAAUUAAUACUGCUGUUGAAUCGCUGCUGUGACCUCCCACAGUUGUGUCUCCAAAGCUGUGAUAAGGGAUUAGCUGGAUGGUGUUAAUUAGCUAAUCCUGUUUCUGAUUUAUUGUCAAGCUCCUGUAGUUUACCAACAAUAUACUUAGGGCUAGAACAAUAUAUUCAAGCUAGUAAACAACUGAUUUAUAGAUAAAGGUCAGCAGCUGUGGCCUUCUGUCAUGUUGGUCGUGUGAACAAAUGCACAGAGACAUCUAGUUUGAUGAUAUAAUGAUAUAUACCAUAUAUCUGUGUGUAUUAGGCUAUUUUGGACAGUGCUCAAAUAUUGCUUUCCCCUGAUUAGCCAAUAUUUUUAGACCUGAGGACAUUCUUUACUGGAUUCAGAUGAUCAUUUUGACAUAGUUAUAAUAAUUUUAGACACUUUCAAUCAGGUAAAGUUGUUGCAUGUGUGUUUAAACCAGGGCUACAACUAAUGAUUGUUUUUAUUAUGAAUUCAUCUGCCAGUCGGUUUCUCAGUUAAUUAUUCAGUGCAUGGAAUGUCAAGAAAUUGUAAAACAAAAUGUUCAUCAGUUUCCCAGAGCUCAAUGAGAUGUCUUGUGUUCCUUAUUUUGUCUAACCAACAGUACAAAACCCAGUUGCAGCUUUCAGUUAGCGUACUGUAAACAACAUUUAGCGAUUUCAGACGUAGGCUUUUUUUGUUAAAUGUGUAAAGAUAGAGCAACAUAGAGUGGAAGAUGUGUUGUGCUUCCAAAAUGGGUUUCUUAACUCUAACUGACUGCACUGACAUUACUUUUGCAAUGAGGUCGGGAUAAGAAACUGACAUGUAUAACUGAACUCUGCUUGUACUUCUUCCCCCACAUACUUUAAAUCAAUGAAGCCAGUGAUGGGGGGCGGGGGGGGGAUAAAAAAGAUUGGGUUUAAAGAGAAUAAGGUACAUGCUGAAAAUAACUUGAAUUAUGCUUUAAUCAUAAAUUUGACCAAACUGUAAGGUUUCCAUCCAUUGCAGCAGCCAUGUCUGCAACGUCUCCUGCUGCUGUCUCGCUACCUGUCUCUGACCUUUGCACACUCCUUGUUGUCAGAUACCAGGUCCAGGAAUUAAGAGAAUAAUGAAUUAAUGACUACAUCUGUAGAGAUCUAGAUUCAUGUUUACACUGAAGACAGCAUACACUGAAGGCAACUAGGACAUAAGCAAUGUCAAUGUCUCUGAUUUAGACAUAAUAUGUGCAUAAACAAGCCACUAAUACAAGUGUAAGGGGUGAUGGAGUUCUUCCUGCCAAGCCAUCAAACUGUGAAUCUGG
rnacentral:lncRNA from 15 species